rnacentral:tRNA from 1 species
UCUAAUAUGGCAGAUUAGUGCAUUGGAUUUAAACCCCAACUAUAAAGUUAUUACUUUUUUUAGAA